rnacentral:rRNA from 1 species
UACGAAGGGGGCUAGCGUUGCUCGGAAUCACUGGGCGUAAAGCGCACGUAGGCGGCUCUUUAAGUCAGGGGGGAAAUCCUGGAGCUCAACUCCAGAACUGCCCUUGAUACUGAGGAGCUUGAGUCCGGGAGAGGUGAGUGGAACUGCGAGUGUAGAGGUGAAAUUCGUAGAUAUUCGCAAGAACACCAGUGGCGAAGGCGGCUCACUGGCCCGGUACUGACGCUGAGGUGCGAAAGCGUGGGGAGCGAACAGG